GUGCUCGCUUUGGCAGCACAUAUACUAAAACUAGAACAAUUUAGAGAUUAGUAUGGCCCCUGCGCAAGGACGACAUGCAAAAAUGGAAGUGAGUUCUUAGAUUGU